rnacentral:rRNA from 1 species
GACCGUCAGCUAAGGUCCCAAAAUCACAUCUCAGUGGGAAACGAUGUGGGAAGGCCCAGACAGCCUGGAGGUUGGCUUAGAAGCAGCCAUCCUUUAAAGAAAGCGUAAUAGCUCACUGGUCGAGUCGGCCUGCGCGGAAGAUUUAACGGGGCUUAAGAUGUGUACCGAAGCUGCGGAUACGUGUUUACACGUAUGGUAGAGGAGCGUUCUGUAAGCGGUUGAAGGUGUGUUGUAAAGCAUGCUGGACGUAUCAGAAGUGCGAAUGCUGACAUGAGUAACGAUAAAGGGGGUGAGAGGCCCCCUCGCCGAAAACCCAAGGUUUCCUGCGCAACGCUAAUCGGCGCAGGGUUAGUCGGCCCCUAAGAUGAGGCAGAGAUGCGUAAUCGAUGGGAAACAGGUUAAUAUUCCUGUACCUCUUAUUACUGCGAUGGAGAGACGGAGCAGGCUAGAUCAUCCGGGCGUUGGUUGUCCCGGUUUAAGCGUGUAGGGAGUGGAAUUAGGUAAAUCCGGUUCCAUAAUUCUGAGACGUGAUGACGAAGCAUCUACGGAUGUGAAGUGAUUGAUGCCAUACUUCCAGGAAAAUCUUCUAAGCUUCAGGUAAUAAGAGACCGUACCCCAAACCGACACAGGUGGGUGGGAUGAAAAUUCUAAGGCGCUUGAGAGAACUCUGGUGAAGGAACUAGGCAAAAUGGCACCGUAACUUCGGGAGAANGUGCGCCCCUGGUAUGUGAAGCGACUUGCUCGUGAAGCAGAAGGGGGUUGCAAUAAAUUGGUGGCUGCAACUGGUUNNCUAAAAACAUAGCACUCUGCAAACUCGAAAGAGGACGUAUAGGGUGUGACGCCUGCCCGGUGCCGGAAGGUUAAUUGAUGGGGUUAGCUU